AAAAUGGUGAACAAUAGUGUUACAGAGCAAUUUAAAUUUAGUAGUAGAAUGGCUAAGGCUUAGUAGGAGAGUAGGCCUAGAAAGCAACACUCCAAAGUAGUAAGUUAGCAACCUUGUUUGUGAGCAUGGAAUGUACUGAAGAAGUGGAAACAAUAAUCAAAGGAUUUAGUCAAGCAUGUAUAUAA